AAGAAUAACUAAUUUACUACACUUCACUAUGUCGUUACGUAUGUUUACAUUUUAGUCGUGCUCACUGGUUUUUUGUCCCCAUACUUUCAAGGGAGUCCUGUUGUUCCAUUAUAGCACCUUUUAUAAUGGAGAAGUAUUAGGUACAGUAGUGCGUAAUGACACACACACAUCUAUAUCUCCUGACUAUUAGCCGGACUGACCUAACCUUGAUCUCUUAUAUAAAAAGUUCUUGACUAACCGAGUGAUGUGAUCUAAGGGCCUGGCCACAGCUACUGGCGGUGCGUUAUGCGGUGCGUUGCGAGGCGCGGCGGGCGGUGUGACUUGCGGGGGUAUGCCACAGCUAGACUAGUUGCGACGGCGGCGGCGUCAGAGGUGGACGUAUUUAGAAAGCCCUAUCAAAUUUCCCUUUCAAAAGUGGCACGAUAUUACCUUGAAAUAAGUGCGUUCUUAGCUGAAGAUAUUAUUCAAUCAAGAAUAGGAGCGUACCCAGUUAGAAAAAGAGAGAACUUGGCGAAUUUCACCCUAUUUAUUAGGUAUUAUAUUAGGAAUAUAAGAACUAUCCCGAUAAAUAGAUUAUUAAUAGAUUCAACCUUCACAGAUAUUACCAGGUUCAAAUCUAAAUUUACCAUACGUGUUAAUUGCUGAUAAAGCCUAUCCUCUUAAAAAUUAUUUGAUGCGCCCAUAUCCACCGGGUGGUUUAAAUGUGGAACAAAUAAUUUUCGACAAAACAUUAUCCCGGGCAAGUGUCACAAUUCAGUACGCGUUUGGUAUUCUAACUAAUAAAUUUCGUAUUUUUACGAAAAGUGUACAGGCAAACAAAAAGCACGCGACAUUGAUUAUAAAGGUUUCGUGCCUUAACAGAAAGUGAUGGAGACAGAGAUGCAGAUUUUCAGCAGUUUGUUUCCCAGUUUGGAGACUCCAAUAUUCACAAUAGCGUACGCAGAUCAAGACGGAAUAAUCGAGCAACGGUUCAAGCAUCUAGAAUACGAAAUCAAUUCAAAUUUCAAAUUUUAUUUCAAUAAUCCUAUCCAAGAGUAUCUAGGAAACCAUUAGUACCAGAAAAUUGUUGUUUUAUUUCGUCCCACAUUUUUUUUAUAACAUGCCUAUAUUUAUGAUGUGGAUGUUUUGACAUCCAUAUUUCUGGUCUACUCAGUAUUUCACUAAUGAAUUGUUCCACAUCCAUUAUAUUUUAUUAGCUCAACGCGCGGUAAAAACAAAAUGAUUUGUUUCGGUCGCGCGAUGCCUCAAUGCGUCCACCGACACCGCCGCGCGCGCCGCUCUGAGCUGUGGCCACCUCCAUAUUGUCUAGUACAUUUGUUUCACUCGCACAUCGUGCAGCUCGUCGCCGCCAGAUGUCACGCGCCUCUCACCGCGCCUCGCAACGCACCGCAAAACGCACCGCCAGUAGCUGUGGCAUACUUCAUAGGUUGUCUACCAUUUGUUUUCGCCGCUCCCGCUUGCCGCGCCUCACGACGCACCGCAAUUCGCACCGCUCUCGGCUGUGGCCAAGGGGUUUAUUAGUUUGGAACAAAAGUUGAACACAAAGAAGAUUUUUUACUACACACGUCCUAAAGACGAAAAAGCAAUUAUAUUAGUUCGACGUUGCUGCUAUUAGCGCUGGAGCUACCUGCGGCGCUGCUCUAUAAUUACGCCCUGAGUGACAUUUUCGAAGCUUUUGUAAGCGAUAACACGGAAGCUGCGUCAGAAACUUAAAAAAGCAAAUUCGCACAAAUCAAACAUUGAAGUGUUAAAUUUUUCUUUACAAAGGGCUUUAGAAGUCGCACGACGGGGAUCUCGCAGGAGAAGCAUUAUGACACGGGAUCAUUAGUUAGCAAAUGUCAAACUCAAUUGAAAUCGUUUCUUAUUGACAGCAUUUUUGCCCUGAUCGUACAACAAGAAGACAACUUAAGCAAAUAAAGAUCUUGAGUAAUGAUUAAUGAUUUUUACACUAUGAAAUAAAUUCAAGAUCACAGAUUCUAAUUUCGAAUAAUAAAUCUAAAACAUUA